GUUCUUCUUGUUGGCCUACCUGAAUACAUGCUGAAGAAUUGUCCUGAGGACCCUCUGUCAGUCUGGGUACAGAUAUGCUAUAGUUCAGUGGCACAUGGUAUGAGGAGAGAGCUGCCUGCAGAGAGCGUGAGUCCUGAUCCCUUGUCCCAGGGCAAAAGAGUUUCAGAGGAAGCCCAACUCCACUGGGCGGUUUUUCAGGACCUGGAGAGGAGAAGGAGAUGAAGAGUGUCAUUUAUUGUUUCCUCAGUUAUCUCAAGAGGUCCACGUCUAUCUCUCUCAUGAAGCGUAAGCACUCCUCUGACUCAGAACACUCAGUUAACUGAGGUGCUUUUUAAACAGAGAUAUGGAUUUAGAUCAUGGAGCAUAUCCUCUCACCCGUGACCAGUAGCCAAUAUUGCAGAACAGCUGACAGAAAUGUGGUAGGGAUGCUGCGUGACUACCUGGGCAUUACUCUACAGAGCUGGAUCACAGAACCUAACUUCAUUAGCAUCAUAGUCUAAUGAGAUAACUAGUGAGUGCAAUAAAUACUUGAUGACUACGAAUAAAGUCAGCAAAGAAAACAAAAAAA
rnacentral:lncRNA from 1 species